GACGAACGCUGGCGGCGUGCUUAACACAUGCAAGUCGAACGGUGAAGCGCCUUCCUUUUGGUGGGUGUGGAUGAGUGGCGAACGGGUGAGUAACACGUGAGUAACCUGCCCCCUUCUUCUGGAUAACCGCAUGAAAGUGUGGCUAAUACGGGAUAUUCUGCGCCUGCUGCAUGGUGGGUGUGGGAAAGAUAUUGUUUCGGUGGGGGAUGGGCUCGCGGCCUAUCAGCUUGUUGGUGGGGUGAUGGCCUACCAAGGCGGUGACGGGUAGCCGGCCUGAGAGGGUGGACGGUCACACUGGGACUGAGACACGGCCCAGACUCCUACGGGAGGCAGCAGUGGGGAAUAUUGCACAAUGGGCGCAAGCCUGAUGCAGCGACGCCGCGUGAGGGAUGGAGGCCUUCGGGUUGUAAACCUCUUUCGCCAGUGAAGCAGGCCUGUCCCUUUUGUGGGUGGGUUGACGGUAGCUGGAUAAGAAGCGCCGGCUAACUACGUGCCAGCAGCCGCGGUAAUACGUAGGGCGCGAGCGUUGUCCGGAAUUAUUGGGCGUAAAGAGCUCGUAGGCGGCUGGUCGCGUCUGUCGUGAAAUCCUCUGGCUUAACUGGGGGCUUGCGGUGGGUACGGGCCGGCUUGAGUGCGGUAGGGGAGACUGGAACUCCUGGUGUAGCGGUGGAAUGCGCAGAUAUCAGGAAGAACACCGGUGGCGAAGGCGGGUCUCUGGGCCGUUACUGACGCUGAGGAGCGAAAGCGUGGGGAGCGAACAGG
rnacentral:rRNA from 1 species